UGGCAGAACGGUAGCCCGCCGAGCGAAAUACUUUGCUGUAAUUGUUCUGUCUUUACGUUCUGAGAUCAACUUCCGCCGACGUCGACUUUGCCUUUCAUCCUUUCAGGGGUCGAUAAAUAAAGUGACAGUUGCGCACUGGGGUCGAUCUAAU